rnacentral:lncRNA from 1 species
ACUUGCACCUUCUUCACUUUCUUCUUCUUAUUUUUCUUCCCUUUCUUAAAGGGUCGAGAACCAGAAGAUGAACCUCCCACUAAGUUCACCGACUCCUUAUGGAGUUGGUGAUCCUUCUCAAAGUUCUGAAGCAACCCCAAUAACCCAUGGUAGUUUACUUCAGGCUUUGUCAUUCUAUAAUGAGUGAGGAAUGGGAGAUAAGACUUGGACAGUGAGUUUAGUAUUGCAUCUUUCCCAAGCUGCUC